rnacentral:rRNA from 1 species
AGCGAACGCUGGCGGCAGGCCUAACACAUGCAAGUCGAACGGAUCCUUCGGGAUUAGUGGCGGACGGGUGAGUAACACGUGGGAACGUGCCCUUUGGUUCGGAACAACUCAGGGAAGCUUGAGCUAAUACCGGAUGUGCCCUUCGGGGGAAAGAUUUAUCGCCAUUGGAGCGGCCCGCGUCUGAUUAGCUAGUUGGUGAGGUAAAGGCUCACCAAGGCGACGAUCAGCAGCUGGUCUGAGAGGAUGAUCAGCCACAUUGGGACUGAGACACGGCCCAAACUCCUACGGGAGGCAGCAGUGGGGAAUCUUGCGCAAUGGGCGAAAGCCUGACGCAGCCAUGCCGCGUGAAUGAUGAAGGUCUUAGGAUUGUAAAAUUCUUUCACCGGGGACGAUAAUGACGGUACCCGGAGAAGAAGCCCCGGCUAACUUCGUGCCAGCCGCCGCGGUAA